UCUAUACUCCGAGACCGAGGUUAGCGUGGUGGGGAAGUUGCAAGUUCUCUAAUGCGGUUUGAAUCGUUUGCUGGCCACCCACGUGUUAGGAUCGAACCCCGUGCUCAGACUGUAGGUGGUGGAGAGCGGUGUUCCGGCGGAGGGAAUCGGGCCCUGGGGCUGUUGAAUUCAAAACAGGUGGGUCACCCAGUUAGGUGGGGUCGAAGGCAGAAGGCUGAAAAUGGAAUUGAUUUUCUGGGAGGAAACAAUUGCUUUGGACCAGUGCCAUGUUCCAGAUAUGGGGAGCAAUGAGCUGAUGGUGAAGAGGCUGGAGACUGAAUCCCCAACCCCACAAAACGAUUGGGGCUGAAGAGGACAAAUGAAGUAACUAAUGUUGAAAAUGGGCUGAAAUGAAACAUUCUGGACCUGGAGCACACAGGACAGUAUGGGGUAAGAGUCUCCUGCUGAGUAGGGCCUUAAAGAAAAGGGACUGAGUGGUUUUACAGCCUACAUGAGCUGAGUUAAGGAUAAUCAGCUCCUGUGCUUUCAGGGCUUGCUCUGAUCUCUGUGAGGGGUAGUGGGGAGUAGUCAGAGGUGUGUUGCUGGAGGUAUAGGGUGACCAGAUGUCCCGAUUUUUAGGGACAGUCAUGAUUUUUGGGUCUUUUUCUUAUAGAGGCUCCUAUUACCUCCCCACCCCCUGUCCUGAUUUUUCACACUUGCUGUCUGGUCACCCUAUGGAGGCAGGAUGCUUGACUUGAUGGGCCCAUCCACUGUUUUAUUAGUAGUUAUAUUACACUGUUGCCUAGAGGCCUUACUGUGCUGGAGGUUGUAGAGUCACUUAAAGAGACCAUCCCUGUCCCAAAGAUAUUUUGUUGGCUUUGUCUGCUUAGGUUAUAAAGGAUGGAAGACAGGAAGUAUCAGCAUUACAGAUGAGGAGAGCUGAAGGCUGAGAUUUUUCAAAGGAGCCCAGUGGAGUUAGGCACCCAAACCAGAGAUUUUAAAGGACUUAUUUGAGGUCACCCAGGGAGCCUGUGGCAGAGCUGAAAACUGAGCCCAAAUGUCCCAGUCCAGAGCCUUAACCACACAACUAUCUUGAGGAUGGGUGUUGAUUGGAGACCCGGCCCACAAGACAUUUCUUCUCAGACCCAUGAGACCCUUCUGUGCUUUGUCACUGGUAGUGUCACAGCUGGGUCUGAGGGCAUGGGUAGAGUCUGCCAUGAGUAUAUUCAAUCCAUCUUUCACCUGAUGACAUGUGCCCUGAGCAGACCCCACUGCAUUGCGGAUGGAGAAACGCAUUAACUCCCUCUCCCAUUUUGAGCCUGCAAUGAAAUCUAGUAGAUGUAGUUAAGGUUUAACGCCUGGAGGAACCAUUAUAACUAGAUAGACUGACUCCCUGCAUCAUAGGGAACAUAGAAAGUCACAGAGCAAUCCCCACUAUGACUCCCUGACUCCUUCCCAUUUCUAAAACUCAACCAUUAUCCCCCCUAUCCCUGCAUGCUGCUUUUAAAUAGUUCCCUGCACUAGCCCUUCUCACCUCACUGCGUCUCCAGGUAACUUCACUGUGCCAUUUCCCUGGCUGGAACUGCUGUGCCCUUAGAAGCUGCUUGUAUGGCCUUAUUGAAAAGCCAGAUCUUUAUAGGCCAGACGAAACUGUUAGAUUGCCUAGUCUGAGCUCUAGUUUAAUACCAGCCGGAGAACUUCACCUAGCGAUCCCGCUGAUUGUAUUUGAGUAACACAUCCCUCCUAGAAAGGCAUCCGUCUCUAAUUUUUCAGCGUCCUUAUUAAAAUUUGGACACCAGAACUGGAUGCGAUAAUCCAGUAUCAGACUCACCAGUGCCAUAUACAUGGGUGAAAUCACCUCCCUGCUUCUACUGGCUAGUACCUGUUUAUGCAUGUGGGGAUUUUAUCUGUCAUCUUUUUGCAGGUGGAGUUGGGAAGCUCGGGAGCCCAUGUUGGAACAUGAGGCAGUUGGAUGAGGAAGCAGCUAAAAUUCUCAACCACUUGAGGUUUCAGAGUCCUGGUUGGUGGUUUGUGUGUGGGAGGGGCAGCCACAUUGCCACUUGUAGGACUUGGAGGGGUCUGCUGUGAUGAACUGCAUGUUCAGUCCGUGUUUCACCUGAUCUACCCUGAUUACACACAUGCCCUAAGCAGACUAAUGAAACAAACAUCUGUAGCUGAGGUCUGACUUGGGGGAAAGCUGAUGUUCUAAUGGUCUCCAAUGCAACCAUAAGUCCCAGACAGUGAGGAGAAUAAGUAGCAGAUCCAUGCAAACUCUUCAGAAACUUGGUUCUGGUUUUUGUGCAAAUGAAAAGAGUAUAGAUACAAGGAAAGGUUUUCCAUGUAGUUGAUAGCUUUUUUUUUUCCUUCCCUUCUUUCUCUCUCUCUCUCCAUUAACUUGGAAAUAUUUCCUCCUUGUAUCUAUAGGGGCAGGAACUCUAAAAACAAAAUUGGAUGGUUUCUCCUCACUCCUCACCCUGGAUCCCUUAUAGGAAUCACAGAUGGAUGAUUUUGAGAUGAGCCUUCAAGGAAAAUGUAUCUUUCUCUCCAUCAAUGUCAACUGUAAGAGAGAAUUUGGGCCCUGAAAAUAAAAGUUUUGGCCUCUCUCUGACCUGUAUUACAAGGACUCUUCAAAGUUAUGUCUAGGAAAGUCUGUACUAAAAACAGGAUUAAACUAGAAUGGAUGUGUAAAAGUUGGGUAUUUUUUGUAAAAACGUUCAGUGGUAGAACUGAGGAAGAAAUGGAGCUUUCUCAACUGUAAUCCACUGGUCUGAAUUCAGCCCAGGUCAGUAGUGGUUGUGGUUGGGAUUUUCACAGGAGACUUAAGGGCUUUAGAUGGCAUGCCGCUUUAGGCGCUUUUUGAAAAUCCCAGAUAUUUUUAAAGCUCUUAGUCACUGUAAUAUCUGUGGACUUGUACAAAAUUGAGGCUACGGAUAGUUAAUCAACAUUGGUCUAUUUAUAUUGCUGGGUCCAAAAUUACUUUCCACUCUUCUGUGAAUUUACUUUCCUGUGUCCACUGUCUGUCUUGUAUUACCAACACCAUUUAGAUUAGGCUGAGAUUUUCAAAUGUGCACAGGAUUUGGACUCUCAGUUCCCAUUAAAAAAAAUAAUGGGAAUUUAACAGGCAUAUGCCAUAGACUUGAAAAUCCUUAACCUAAAUGUAUUUAAACUACGUCUCCCUCAGUCGCCUGACACCAGCGCAGACCCUUAUUUCAUGCUCCUAAUGUUGUCAUCCUCUCUAAUCCUUUUUUCUCUCCACCCCAAAUAUGUAGAUCCUUUCCCACUAAGUGGGCAGCCAUCACUGCACAUCACCUACAUAUUACAGCUCUUGUGUUGAACACCAGGGAGACAGUGAGAGAGAUGGAGCUGAGCACUAGGGCUGUGUGAACUGACUUCAGCAAUGUGUGGUUUUGAGUUUAGACAUCCUGGGUUACAUGGAAGUCAGGACAAAAUCUCAAUGUCAUGAGCAGAGAUGCCAAGCUGGACCCUCAAAACCAGGGCCAUCCCAGAAAACAUGGGCCAUUUGGUCAUCAAGAGUUUUAACGGGUUUGUAGGGAUUCAGCUGAACAUAAAAAAAACAAGCAUUUCCCCAAAACCAUGUUUUUAAAGCAGAAUGAAUCUAAAAAUGUUGUAAUUAUCCUAUUUGUCAAUCAUUUGGAACUCCUCCUUAUGCAGAACUUGCAGUUUUAUUCUUUUCAUGUGAUUUGCCUUUUUACUGUGUGUGACAGUCUCACUCAAUUUGAUAGCAUUUCUGUGUAUUUGUCUGUACAUGUGUAAUGUGAUCACUUUUCAACACUAUGCUCUCCUUUCCAGUUUUUUCAGGGAAUAUUUGAGGUGCUGAGGGCCAAGAAUCUAUUGAUUUUGGAGAAAAUUGGAAAACUGAAGGGGAAAGUGGAGAGGGAGAGAGAGCUGGAUGGAUACACAGAGCCCCUGCUAGCUGUGUAGCACAACUGCAGAUUCAAGCAACUCUGCAAUUAACUAUAGACUCAAGAACUGGUUAAUGGCAGCCAUUAACCCCUUUUCCCCCAUAACAAUGCCCCUAUCUAAUGUGUGUGUCCUGCUGUCAUAAACAGAUAGCUAAAGGUUAAUGUCUCUUUCACCUGUAAAGGGUUAACAAACAGUGACCUGCAAC